UUAGCCAGGUUUGCCCCCGGGAGAUGCCUAAACAACCCACCGCCCUGCUUCCAGCUGCUCCAAAACCCAACACCCACCAUCCCAUCGCUCCAACCCCGACCCAACCUCCCUGGCAAGGCAGGGAGGGACUGGACAGGUGACACGUCACCAACGCUGAUGCCACAGGUUUCCCUUCCAGUCUGUUUUUUUUUUUGGCAUUUUGGUUCAUGAACAGAACACCCUAUUUAGCAACGGAGGAGACAACCCCACUGAACGCCGCUUAUUUUUAUUUUCGUGCAUCAGAUCGCCGUGCCCCUGCAGCUGCGGCGGGGCGGGGGGAGUGGGAAGGCUGGUUUGAAGGCAGGGAAAAAAAAAAAAAAAAAAGCACCAUUUCCACGGGGAGCUCCGGCUCCCGGAGGGAUGAAACGGCUCCCGGCUGGGAGCGGGGAGGAGGCGCGGGGAGGAGCGGGGCAGAGGAACGAGCGCGGCGGCUUCCACGGCUCCCUCGUGGUUACGAGAGAUUUGCUCUGGCUGUGGAGGAGCGUGCCCGUCUGCCGGAGGGCGAUCCCAAACCGCUGUGCUGGCUGUAGGUGCGGGUUCCCUGUCCUGCCUUGGGGCAGGAGCCAUCAGCCUCACGCAGCCGGGCUGGGAGAAGUUCCGUGGGGAGGGAUCCGGGAGCCCCGAGAGCUGCUCUGAGUCCUUUGUACCCUGCUGCUGAGCAAGAUCCACGCUCCGGGCUCAGGGAUACUGGUCAGCUGCUUCAAGCCGGCCGGCUGCGUUCAGCCGUCAGCUUUGAAGGUGAAACAAAGUUUAAUCAGGGCCUGAAGGAUAAGGAAGGUCUAACUCAAUGAAUUGUAGAAAAGGUUUUAUGAGACUCAGUGAGCACUAAAGUGGAAGAAGAAACUCAACUGUGAAGUGAUGGAGUUUGGGGAAGAUGAAGAGAACUUAAUUUCCUCAUUUCAUCCUAUUUUCCUAUCUAAAGCUGCUGUUACUGCUCAGGAACAAGACCUUUGGAUGGUGACAGCCCAAUGGAAAGAAGGGCUUUUAAUUGCCAUGAAGGACUUAUGCUGCACAUUUAUCCUCACCCUUAGGAUUUCAGACACUUCUAAUGGACUCAUAACCACGGGACAGUGAUGGCACAGGCACAGCAGGAUUUUAACAGUGGGAAGAUGCUGAUGGACAAAAAUGAAACUUGGCUCUCUAAUUUCUCCUCUGCUGCCUCCUCCUUUGUGAGGAGAGGGAUCGGGCUCCAGGAGGUGGUCAUUGGCCUGAUCCUCACCCUCAUCGACCUGAUCACCCUCCUGGGAAAUACCGUGGUCUUCCUCUGCCCCGUGGUGGAGAAGAGGCUGCGCACUGUCACCUACAUGUUCAUCAUGUCCUUAGCCAUGGCAGACUUCCUUGUGGCCUGUCUGGUCAUGCCCUUCAGUAUCAUUUACGAGGUGACGGGGAUGUGGCUGUUUGGGAGGCUUUUCUGCAAAGUCUGGAUCUCCUUUGAUGUCAUGUUCUGCACGGCAUCCAUUGUCACACUGUGCUUCAUCAGCCUGGACAGAUACUGCUCCGUGGUGACCCCCUACCACUACUCCAGAAGGAUGUCCCGUGGCAGAUGCAUUGUGAUGACCUGCAUGGUCUGGGUGUAUUCCUCCCUCAUUUCCUUCCUUCCUGUCAUGCAAGGCUGGAACGAGAUCCCCGGGGUGGACUUUGAUGCGGGCAGGGAAUGCAUCUUUGUCACCAACUGGAUUUUUGCCAUUGUGGCUUCUGCCCUGGCGUUUUUCGUUCCCUUCAUGGUGAUGUGCAGCAUGUAUUUCUUCAUCUACCGAGCUUCGCGGCUCAAGGCCACCCGCAUCAUGUCCCAGACCCUGGAGAUUCACUACCACCCCAACAGCAAGCGGCAGAACCACCUGCAGCUGGAGAACAAGGCCACGAGGACCAUCAGCAUCAUCAUCUCAGUCUUUGUGCUCUGCUGGCUGCCCUACUUCGUCCUGAACGUCUGGCUCGCUGCCAGGGGCACCGACUCCACCAGCACGGUCCUGGUCGACACCUUCAAGAUCAUCACCUGGUUGGGAUACUGCAACUCCACCAUCAACCCAAUGCUCUACGCCUUCCUGAACAGGGACUUCCAGCGGGCCCUGAAGAAGCUGCUCAUUUGCAGGCACAGGUCUCAGGUGGACAUUGGAGAAGACAUGGUUUCCAUUGCCACCUUCUCCAAGACCGCUCCAGAUCUGGAAUACAGCACAGCGGUGCCAGUGCCCAACGGUGCCCUGAAGGGCAAACCCAAGUCAUAGGGAUUGCAGGGUCAGUCGCUGGAGGUGGUGAUACAGAAAGUGCCAGAGCACAUCCUAAUGGAAAAAUAAUGGGUAGCAAAAUAAGGGAAGGAGGGGCUGGAAUACUGCAGCUGGGGACAUACAACAAAGAUGCAUUUCUUAACCUUCCACAGUUAUAAGAAUGAGGAACUUUGAUAUUUUUGGGAUAAUUUGUGAUACUAAUGGAGUUAAUUCCUUCCUGGGUAUUUUUUUUUUUAAUGAGCAUUUCCCAAGACAAAUUCAACCAUAAUGUUGGGGAAAAAAUAUCAGUAUGAUAAUGUGAACUCAUCUUCCUGUGCAUCCUGGUGAUCUGUGUCAGGUGGGACAGUGUUUCUUAUCAAGCCACUGUAGCUCUCAUUUCACAACUUCAUUACAGACCUGACCAGUUUCAGUAACUCCACCUGUAUCAGUCUGGGUGUGGGAACCAUGAGGGAUGUGGCCAAAGAGCAGAGCUUGCUUGUUACCGAGGCACCAGUCCACAGCCUGGGCUGUUGCUCAGGGUUCAGCUCUGUUGCUUCUGAGAUAUUGAGAGGUUUAGAGCUUUCUGAGGCUUUCUGUGAAUUAUCUGUGAGCUAAUUCUGGAAGGGAACAUUCUAUGUGGCAGAGCCCAGGAGCAAGACUUGCUGUAAUGCCAAGAGCACUGAGUGCCCAGGAGUUUCAAAGAGGGCUACAGGUGGCUGACACCACCCAAAGAGAGGAUGCGAAGAGGAAUCAUUACUCACUUGUGUGUCUUGCACUGUGAUGUCUAUGGACCACACAGACAUAAAAAAAAAUCAUGAUAAACGGGAACCACAAUUUUUACUACUUCCAAGUGCUUGUCUGGACUUCCAACAGCUUUUCUGUAGCAGGGUGACAUGAGGGCUGGUGACCCCUGAGACAACAGCCAUCGCUUCCCAGCACAGUUGUGGUGGGGUCUCACACUGGUUUAUGUGGGAGGGUUGCUGCACUCAGAGCCUGCUCUUAGACUGAUCUUCUGUGGGCAUGAAACACUUCAAAGAUGGUUUCUGAAAUACCUCCUUCUGAGUGUCAAUCACUUCCUUGGGACAGGCAAGGCUUCUGCAGCCUGGGAAGCAGAGCAAGCACAGCAGAAAUAUGUCCAGGCUAACAUUUAAUGCUAAAACUACCAGACUGAGGCACUGAGAGGGGUGAAGAACUUCAUUUUGCUGAAAAAUUAAAAAAAGGGAGGAUAAUACAAGUUCUGAGUCCUGCUCUUCCACCUCAAAGGUAGCUGAGGACUGUCCUCAGAGGUGCAGCAAAACGCAAGUAUGUCCUGCCUGGAGCAGCUCAGCUACUGAAAAGACAGGUACAAGGGUCAGGAGUUCUCUCUCAAGAGUAUGGUAGAAAAAACAGCCCUGACCUGGGGUUGCAACACUGGUUCUCCUGUCAAAUGGCUCUUCAUGGAGUGGGUUAGGUCUCCCAGAUCCUAUGACUCCAGUAACAACAUGGAAGUGAUCUCUCACUUACCCAGCAAGCUGACAUUUACAAGCUUCAAAAAACCCCAAGAAACCCAAAAAAACUGACAAUGGAGCACAACAUUGGUAAGCACAGUAGCUGGACCCGUCCGCCUCGGAAAGUUAAGGUCACUGGUCACCAUGCACAAGAGGAAAAGCCUUUCUGGCUGUCGCCCUUGUUCUCUAUGAACUUGUUCCUGAGCAAGAUGGAUCUCAUUGUAACAGGAAGCAAGAGCUGUAACGAACCACCAAACAUCCCAAAUCCACAUUUGAUGCAAUGAAGGUCAUCAGUUAUGGGAAGAUUGUGCCUGAAGCUGAGUGAGACUCACAGCUAAGACUCACUACAGGAAAAGGAACAGCAAUUUUUCACAAAUUGCUUUGGGUGAAAAAGCAGUGCAGAUACAAACGAAAGAAGAAAUAAUAAAAAUGCACCGCAUGGUUCCAGUUCUUGAAUGAAAACCAAGCUGGUAGGCUGAAAGUCACAAGCUAUAUUUGUUGCUUGAGUUCUUGGAUAUCCUAGUUCAAUAGUUUCUCUUACUUGGCUUGACAACAGAGGAGCUUUGUAAAGAAAUUAAAGCCUCCAUUCAACUGCACACAUUCGGAAGACUGCAAUUUAUUUUCCGUGAUUCAGGGGGUCUGUACAAGGCUGAUAAAGAAGUUGUGCUGCUAAUUGCAAGGCUUUCUCAAAACUGACAGGAACCUCUUGCCAGUGUUUCACCAAGUCAAUAGCUACUUUAAACAAAUGCUCCGAGGAUAACCCAAACACAUAAAUACCUUGACCCUCUCCAUCUGUGUGCUGAAAGGGUAAAGCAGCUCAAAGAGAAUCAGUCCCAGAGAAAAGAUAUCCACUUUGUGCGAGUAGGUGUUCCCACAGAUCUGAAAAGGCAAAAUCAGGGUUAGGGCAAUCAAGCUACUCACUGCAUGUCAUUAUGUACCAGGUAAACAGCACCCUUUCAAGGCCACCUAUGGAAGUGGUCAGCUCUGUGCAGGGCUGAAAGCUACAGCACAGGCACGUUGGCAAACUUCAGCAGUGAGCAUCAGGGACCAAGAUCCUGGUCUGAUCCUCAGCUCCUCUCUGCACACCCAACUGCAAAGCAACGUUUCACCUUACUUAAACCCCAUGCAGGAGGAGUGUGUCCUCCUGCAAUUAACUGGAAUGUUACACAGUUACCCUUGUACGGCAUUCAAAGCAAGAAAAAUGAUUACAUCAAGUUUGAAUCAUUAGCCACUUUUUUGCUAUAAUAAAUAUUAUAUUAAAAUACUGGUUUUGGAAUUCAAUUUAUCUUAAAACUCUACUUUGAUGAGGAAGAAUUUAAGUGGCUUGACUGCAACAAUUUACUAGGAGUGCCUGAUCUUUGAGCUCCCAGGAACUCAGGGCUCUUCCAGGCAUUGCCAAAUACAGCUUUAAAGCAGAGAGCACAAACCUGUUCCGGGCUCAUGUAGAGUUUGGUCCCUACUUGUCCUGUGUGCCUGGCAUAGGCUGGCAUUGGGGUCAGUACCGAUUCCUCCUCCUCAUCUUGGUCCAUAGCAGUUACCAGUCCAAAAUCCCCAACCUUUACUAUGUCAUCCAUUGUGAAAAAUAUAUUGGAAGGCUGAGAAAACAAAGAAGUGAAAAGAAAAAAAUGAGUACUAAACAAGUGUCCGUGUUUCAACCAUUACAACACUUGGUUCUAAUUCAGAAGCCAUGCUGUCAGGGCUAAAAUCACUCAUUAAACUGCUGAAGUGUAACAGCUAAGAAUUGUAGCUACUGAGGAAACACUAAUUACUCCUGCAUUAAACACUGUCCCUUCCUGAAACUCAAAAUGCUCAUUUCUUGCCAUUCAGCAGAGGUUUACCAGCACCACACAGAUCUGCUGAGGAACAUACACAAGAGUCAACAGCUGCUGGGAACAGCAGAGAUAAGUUAUCCAGCUCCCCAUCACAUGGCACAUUCACACCAGAUGCUGCAGUUCUGACUCCUGGUCUUUCUUAUUCUAAUCCCGAAGUGCUAAACUCGUUCGCUUUAUUAUUAACCAGCGCACAGCAUGUCAUCCUAACAUUAAAUUACAGAUAAUGGAAGCCUGGGAACAAGGCCUGCUUUUCAGCUGCUGCGUAAAUGUGCAGUUUGACUGGGGAGAAGCUGUCAGCAUAACAGAAUUGAAAGUUUAUUUUUGAUAGAAGCUUAAGGACUUGGCAAUUCACAAGAGCAGCAACAGUGAUGAUCUGGCUUCAACUUUCCUUUAGCUUGUUUGCUACAUACCACCAUCCUUGGCUUAACCUGAUAAGAGACUGGAACUGAGAUGUCCCUUUGGUAAUGGUCCAUUAAAUGGACCAUUUAAAAAACAGAUGGUUUUUCAAAAGAUUUGCAUCCUGGCUGAUAGAACAGCACCCACCAAAUGGAUGAUUAUUUCUUUGAAAUAAAACCACUCUGCCUCUGUUACAAAUACAGAUGAACACACAGUUUUGAGGAAAGAAGAGACUGAUCCUGCAAGCGGGAGGAAACAGCAGGAUAACGUACAGGGAAAGGGCCAAGGUGUGGUAAAGAGGCAGGUGGUGCUGGGUAAGGUCCUCUCAGAGCUCCUGGACCCUCAAGACUGGGAGAACAUGGUCUGUGUUUUGCUGACACAAAUGCUGGAACAGGAGGAGGCAGACAGAGAGAGGGCAAUAUUUUUCCACAAGAUUAAGGGACUACAAAACUGACCUAUUUCAAAGCCCAUCCAACUUCUUCAGUUAAAGACAAACCCACUGUGUGCAAGAGAGAAAUGAGAUGGAAAAAAAGGUUUCUUGGCUUUUUUUUUUUAAGCAACGGACAGCUCUGAGAUAAGCACUGCAGAAACAGCUCCCCAGUGCCCACAUCCUGCCUCUGAAACUGCCUUCUGAGCCAGGUCUUAUCUCCCCUAUAUUUCCCUGUAAUGAAUGUCAAACCCUUCAGAGUCACAGCACACUUAGGGCACAAAAGCUACUACCCUGUAAGCCCACAGGACCUCCAGGCUCUUGCUGAAGCAUUUGCACAGCACCCAUCCUUCGACUGCACAGCCCUGCUGGCAAACACCUUUGCAUCAGGAUUUUAAUGCUCAAGGAUCAAACGUCUCCAUUAGGGGUUUGUAUCCCACUGCCUUGAUCCCCAUUUUCCUCCUCCAACAAACACAGAAGAGUUCAACAAGAUCUGUCUUGCUUCAUGGAGGAAAAACUCUUCUUAAGAGGAAGUUUUAUUUUUAUACUUCUCUGGCUGGACACAGACUGUCUCUGAAUAGGUUGGCGUAUAGUUUCUACAAUUUAAGGAGAAGGGACUCUCUGCUAUUGCAAAGUACCAGCAAAAAUAAACCCUCAAGGUCUCAUUUGGAAAGAUGAAGUCUAAGGCAGAUGCACACAAUUUUGAUUUAAAUCAUCAGAAGACUGCAUCAAAUAUAACCACCCUCUAGUUUAGUUAUCUUGCCACCUGCACAAAGAAAUUUCUCUCCAUAUUCUUCAGUCAGAGCAAGAACUCUCAUCUUUUCACAGACAUGAAUAAGUUUCUCACACAUUUGGAAGACUCUGUUUAAUUUAAUUAAUGCUGUAAAAUGUAUCCAAGACUGUUCUUGCAGUUCUAUGAAAGUGAUAAUUUCUUUUGAGCUGCCAAGCAUGACCGACAGCUUAUCCUGGGAAUAACAUUAAAUUCACUUGACAGACAGA